UACGUAGGUGGCAAGCGUUGUCCGGAUUUACUGGGCGUAAAGAGCGCGCAGGCGGCCGAGUAAGUCGAAUGUGAAAGCCCCCGGCUCAACUGGGGAACGUCAUUCGAUACUGUUCGGCUCGAAGAUAGGAGAGGGAAGCGGAAUUUCAGGUGUAGUGGUGAAAUGCGCAGAUAUCAGGAGGAACACCGGUGGCGAAGGCGGGUCUCUGGGCAGUAACUGACGCUGAGGAGCGAAAGCGUGGGGAGCGAACAGG
rnacentral:rRNA from 1 species